rnacentral:rRNA from 1 species
UACGUAGGGUGCGAGCGUGUCCGGAAUUAUUGGGCGUAAAGAGCUCGUAGGCGGCGUGUCACGUCGGCCGUGAAAACCUGCAGCUUAACUGUGGGCGUGCGGUCGAUACGGGCAUCACUGGAGUUCGGCAGGGGAGACUGGAAUUCCUGGUGUAGCGGUGAAAUGCGCAGAUAUCAGGAGGAACACCGGUGGCGAAGGCGGGUCUCUGGGCCGAUACUGACGCUGAGGCACGAUAGCGUGGGGAUCGAACAGG